ACUCCCAGCCAUUCAACGUCGCCACGAGCGGCGGCUAGCUCUCGUCCCUCCUGUACCAAUCGUCGUCGGCGGUUGUGGUGGCAUCUCCGACGAGAUUCCCUGGUGAGGUCGUACGUGCUCCACUUCUCCCCGUCGACAGCGAAUGGAGUGCUGCAGUUUCUAAUCCUCGGCGGAUCCAUGGAGGAGGUAGACAAGUAGUAUAUAUAGUCUUCUUCUGAGUUGAUCUGAGUCCCUCCCGUCCAGAUCAAAUCUUCAAUGGUGCUGUGUCGUAGAUUCAACUCAUCCUCCCAGCCCUCACCCUCAGCGUUCCCAGCCGAGUGGUGCGCGGCCGCUGCGUCAGUGCAAUUUGUUUUCUGGACCGGCGAGAGCUCCGGCAGAUCAAACCCAUUGCGUCACACUGAAAAUUGCAAUAUACUAUUUUGCUGACAGCUUCUACAGUGAAGAUACUCCCCCUGGACUCCGGUUCAAGGAUUCUCCUAUUGGAACUCUAGCUUCUCCCCUUGCAGUUGAUGUACCAACUCAGCUCCUCCUCCUGGAGCUGAAACCCCUCUCCUCUUGAAGCUCAGAUUCUUGCUUCUCCUGGAUCUCAAGCAUCUCCUACUCAUCUACUUUGAUUUGUCUAUAUGAUUUCCUGGCCAUGGUCGCUAUGGUUGCUCUGAUUGUUUUGUACUAAACUAAUGAACUACAACAGCAACUAUCUCUCUCUCUCUCUGAGUCACCCUAGUCUCCUCUGCUGCUCACUCUAGGCUGCUACGGCUGUGGUGUUGCAUGACUGAGGUGUUUACUAUUGAUAUGCUACCUAUGAUUAUUUCUCUGUCUUCAGCUGAGUCUCUAGCCGAAUUGCUGGCUACUACUGCUUGAUUCUGUGGUUGAUUGUUCUUGCGACUGAGGAGUAUUUUACUAUGGCUGCUGCUUGAGAUUGGUUUCCAACCGAUGUAACCAAGACUGGUUCUCUAGUAGCUGGGUUGAUAUAUGGGAUAAUUUUUUUCUUUUGUGACUC
rnacentral:sRNA from 1 species